rnacentral:misc_RNA from 1 species
UCCGGUUUGUCACCGGCAGUCUCGUAUGAGUCCCCAACUAAAUGCUGGCAACAUACGACGGGGGUUGCGCUCGUUGCGGGACUUAACCCAACAUCUCACGACACGAGCUGACGACAGCCAUGCACCACCUGUGAUCCUGCCCCGAAGGGAAGCCCUGUUUCCAGGGCGGUCAGGAACAUGUCAAGCCCAGGUAAGGUGGGGAUGACGUCGACGUCAUAA